rnacentral:rRNA from 1 species
AAAUGGCCGCAGUAUUUUAACUGUGCAAAGGUAGCAUAAUCAUUAGUCUUUUAAUUGAAGGCUUGUAUGAAUGGUUGGACGAAAUAUUAACUGUUUCAUAAAAAUUUUUAUAGAAUUUUAUUUUUUAGUCAAAAAGCUAAAAUAUUUUUAAAAGACGAGAAGACCCUAUAGAUCUUUAUAUUUUAUAUAUUAUGAUUAUUUAGAUUACUUAAAUCAUUAUUAUAUUGAAUAUUUUGUUGGGGUGACAUUAAAAUUUAAUUAACUUUUAAUUAAUGAAUACAUUAAUUUAUGAAUAUUUGAUCCAUUAAUAAUGAUUAAAAAAUUAAGUUACCUUAGGGAUAACAGCGUAAUUUUUUUAGAGAGUUCAUAUCGAUAAAAAAGAUUGCGACCUCGAUGUUGGAUUAAGAUAUAAUUUUGGGUGCAGCAAUUCAAUAAUUAAGUC